rnacentral:rRNA from 1 species
CCUACGGGUGGCUGCAGUGGGGAAUAUUGGACAAUGGGCGAAAGCCUGAUCCAGCCAUGCCGCGUGUGUGAAGAAGGCCUUCGGGUUGUAAAGCACUUUCAGUGGGGAAGAAAGCCUUGGGGCUAAUACCCUCGAGGAAGGACAUCACCCACAGAAGAAGCACCGGCUAACUCCGUGCCAGCAGCCGCGGUAAUACGGAGGGUGCGAGCGUUAAUCGGAAUUACUGGGCGUAAAGCGCGCGUAGGCGGUCUGAUAAGCCGGUUGUGAAAGCCCCGGGCUCAACCUGGGAACGGCAUCCGGAACUGUCAGGCUAGAGUGCAGGAGAGGAAGGUAGAAUUCCCGGUGUAGCGGUGAAAUGCGUAGAGAGCGGGAGGAAUACCAGUGGCGAAGGCGGCCUUCUGGACUGACACUGACGCUGAGGUGCGAAAGCGUGGGUAGCAAACAGGAUUAGAUACCCGAGUAGUC